GACGAACGCUGGCGGCGUGCUUAACACAUGCAAGUCGAACGAAGUGGCGAACGGGUGAGUAACGCGUAAUCAACCUGCCCUUCAGAGGGGGACAACAGUUGGAAACGACUGCUAAUACCGCAUACUGAAGGAGGGGAUUGCGUCUGAUGAGCUCGUGGGAGGGGUAACGGCCCACCAAGGCGAUGGUUAGUAGCCGGUCCUGGAGGAUGAACGGCCAAAUUGGGACUGGGACACGGCCCAGACUUCGACGGGAGGGAGGCGUGGGGAAUCUUCCGAAAUGGACGAAAGUCGGACGGAGCAACGCCGCGGGAGUGAUGAAGGCCCUCGGGGUGUAAAGGUCUGUUAAUCGGGACGCGGUACCGGAAUAGAAAGCCACGGCUAACUACGUGCCAGCAGCCGCGGUAAUUC
rnacentral:rRNA from 1 species